UCAUCGAAUCUUUGAACGCACCUUGCGCUCCUUGGUAUUCCGAGGAGCAUGCCUGUUUGAGUGUCAUGAAAUUCUCAACUGCCCCAAAGCUUUGUUGUUUGGAGUGAAGUUGGACUUGGAGGUCUUUGCUGGCGUGAGUCUCUUUUGGCUCGCUUGUUGGCUCCUCUUGAAUGCAUGAGCUUUCCAAGUGGAUCUUGGCAAAGUAUCGUCGAUGUGAUAAUUAUCUACGUCGGUCGAGAAAGCCUCGAGCAGAGUAGUCUCUUCGGAGCAACUCCUACAGGAAAUCUUUCAUAUAUGAUCGGGCUUCAAACACCCGAGCAUCUGACAAAUUCGACCUCAAAUCAGGUAGGACUACCCGCUGAACUUAAGCAUAUCAAUAAGCGGAGGAAAAGAAACUAACAAGGAUUCCCCUAGUAACUGCGAGUGAAGCGGGAAAAGCUCAAAUUUAAAAUCUGGCGUGCCUCUGGUCGUCCGAGUUGUAGUCUGGAGAAGUGUUUUCCGUGCUGGACCG
rnacentral:rRNA from 1 species